AGAGAACUGACUAUACAUGUUUAUUUCGCGAAAGGAUAAAGACCCGAACUUAAGAAAAACAGAGGAAAUCACGCUUGACUGCAAAUAGCAGCCAGUAUUUACUGACAUAUAGUGAAUUAUUUCACAUUGGUCUAGUCGUCGCGUUGUUUUUAAAACUCAUUCAACCAGGAGGUGUCGAUGUGAACUGGAAAUUGCAUAUACCGGGUAUAAGUUCUGCUAUCUACUUCCUAGAAAUUACGUCACCCAGAAAAACUUCUACAUUAUAAAUAAGAAACAACCGUUAAAUGAGCAGUUAAAUACACGGUACAGUGGAUAGGAUAAUGAAUAUAAUGAGCCAAAGUGGAGUAAGCGAUACGUGACAUGUAAAUGUAGCGAUAAUUUGUAAUAAUUAAGAGCAAGAAAUCCAGAGAAGGAAAUACGAAGAAGUACAAAGAUCGAUCGAAUUCAACUGAUAAAUAAAAUCCGAGUUGCUCUCUCGUAUUGCUGCAAAAUGAGACUUUUUGUAUACAUUCUAUUAGUGAUAAUAAUACUCAGUUUAGUAUCAGACGGCCUUUGCCAGAGACGUGGUAACAGACGGAAUCAAGUAUCAAGAAAUCGGCCUACAGGACAAAUCACGACUCAGGAAAUUACAAAGGUGCGUUCGAAAAUGUGUCCCAGAGGUCAGAGGCCGGUUAUGGGAAGAUGUCGCCCAAGCUUCAGAGGCAAAUAGAGUCGACAGGCCCGAAGAUAUCGGAAUUUCGACAAUGUCAGUUGAAAAUCGGAUGCACGGUAGAAUUCCAAAAUAUCGUCGGCGCAGCACAAUUACAUAACAAAAAUAUUCUAUGUACUGACGAAGUUUCAAUAAAUUUAUGUUAUUAGUCCUGCCUA